AGAAUACCCUACAAUUUGUGUAUGUCGCCUAUCUUCAUAUAACAAAUUCUGUCCUAGGUUUCCUUUAACAUACCUGAGAAUCUAAAAUACUGCGCUCUAGUGAUUAUCACAAGGGGUUUGUAGGAACUGGCUAACUACACUUACUGCGAAAGAGAUACCUGGUCAUGUGAUUGUGAGGUAAUUUAAUUUACCAACAAGUCUUCGAUACUUGCCAAGAUCUUUUAAAGGCUCCUCUUGUCUAGGAACAAGCUUAACAUUUGGGUCCAUAAGAGUAUCAAUAGCUUUACAAUCUAGCAUGCCGGUUUCUUUUAAUAUAUUCAAUGCAUAUUUCCUUUGUGAAAUAGCAUUACAAUUGCUACAUUGGGCAACCUCAAUGCCUAGGAAAUACUUCAGCUUUUCUAAAUCUUUGACAUGAAAAUGACUGGUCAGAUGCUGUUUGAGUUGGGCAAUGCCUUCAUAAUCAUCAUCUGUUACGACAAUAUCAUCAACAUAAACUAUCCAAUAAAUACACUUGCCAUGAGAAAAAUGUCGGAAGAAAACUGAAUGAUCUACUUCACUUCGAUGCAUCCCAAAUU
rnacentral:misc_RNA from 1 species